UUAGAGGAAGUAAAAGUCGUAACAAGGUUUCCGUAGGUGAACCUGCGGAAGGAUCAUUAUCGUAACAACUCAGAGGCACGAUGGUGUGCUGUCUGCUGACCCUCGCAAGGGGGUCGUGCACGCGCCCGGGUGUCCUCGCAAACAAUCCACCUCACCUUUGUGCAUCACCGCGUGGGCCCCUCGAAAAGAGGGGCUUGCGUUCUUUUUUUUUGUCACACACGCCGGUACUAGAAUGUGUUACGUGCAUAGCACGCGAUCAAUACAACUUUCAACAACGGAUCUCUUGGCUCUCGCAUCGAUGAAGAACGCAGCGAAAUGCGAUACGUAAUGUGAAUUGCAGAAUUCAGUGAAUCAUCGAAUCUUUGAACGCAUCUUGCGCCCCUUGGCAUUCCGAGGGGCACACCCGUUUGAGUGUCGUGAAAUCCUCAACCUUUCCUCCUUUUUGGGAGAAAAGGCUUGGACGUUGGAGGCUUUUGCUGGCCUCUUUGAUGGAAGCCAGCUCCUCUUAAAGAAAUUAGUGGGGUCCCCUUUGCCGAUCUCCCUCGACGUGAUAAGCCUUCUUUGACGUCGCAUCGAGAGGUGAAGAGAGAGGCCUGCUUUCUAGACUUUUGACCCUUCUGACCUCAAAUCGGGUGAGACUACCCGCUGAACUUAAGCAUAUCAAUAAGCGGAGGAAAAGAAACUAACAAGGAUUCCCCUAGUAACUGCGAGUGAAGCGGGAAAAGCUCAAAUUUAAAAUCUGGUGGUCUUUGGCCGUCCGAGUUGUAAUUUAGAGAAGUGACUUCCGCGCUGGACCGUGUACA
rnacentral:sRNA from 1 species